rnacentral:rRNA from 1 species
UACGUAGGAGGCAAGCGUUAUCCGGAGUUACUGGGCGUAAAGCGUCUGUAGGUGGUUGGACACGUCUGCUGUGAAAGGGUCGCGCUUAACGCGACAAUGGCGGCGGAUACGGUUCGACUAGAGGGUCGUAGAGGAGCGCGGAAUUCCGGGUGUAGUGGUAAAAUGCGUAGAGAUCCGGAGGAACACCAGCGGCGCAAGCGGCGCUCUGGGCGACACCUGACACUGAGAGACGACGGCAUAGGGAGCGAACGGG